UCCCCGAUAGCUCAGUUGGUAGAGCAAUGGACUGUUAAUCCAUCGGCCCCUGGUUCAAGUCCAGGUUGGGGAGUCA
rnacentral:tRNA from 1 species